CCUACGGGUGGCAGCAGUGAGGAAUAUUGGUCAAUGGACGAGAGUCUGAACCAGCCAAGUAGCGUGAAGGAUGACUGCCCUAUGGGUUGUAAACUUCUUUUAUAUGGGAAUAAAAUGUUCCACGUGUGGGAUUUUGUAUGUACCAUAUGAAUAAGGAUCGGCUAACUCCGUGCCAGCAGCCGCGGUAAUACGGAGGAUACGAGCGUUAUCCGGAUUUAUUGGGUUUAAAGGGAGCGUCGGUGGAUUGUUAAGUCAGUGGGGAAAGUUUGCGGCUCAACCGUAAAAUUGCAGUUGAAACUGGCAGUCUUGAGUACAGUAGAGGUGGGCGGAAUUCGUGGUGGAGCGGUGAAAUGCUUAUAUAUCACGAAGAACUCCGAUUGCGAAGGCAGCUCACUGGACUGCAACUGACACUGAGGCUCGAAAGUGUGGGUAUCAAACAGGAGUAGAUACCCCUGUAGUC
rnacentral:rRNA from 1 species